GCUGGUAGCUUAGUGGUUAGCGCUGCUGGCUGUAGGCCAGCGGGUUAGUGGUUUGAAUCUUCUCUCUAGCU
rnacentral:tRNA from 1 species